AAAUAAAAUAAAUGGAUAUAAGUAUUUGGAAGUAGAAGGGUAUCCUUCUGGUAGAUGUAUGUUUAGACAGAAAUUCUGAAAUAAGACAUCUAUUCCAGAUACACUAUGGAGCUCAACAGGCAUAUUUACAAUUAUUGUAAUCUGCUUUGAUCAAACUUUUUAGACCUUACUCAAUGGAUAUGUCCGUAGUAGAUGGAACUGUAGGUGUCCUGCAACGUAGACAGACACCUAUGAAACAGUUAAUGGUACACAGGGGGAAAUGGGGACAGCUAUUCUGACAGCUAUGUAGUACUUUAUUAUUAUUGAUAUAAAUCAUCUUUGUCAUUUUAAAUGUCCUUGAUUUGAGUGUGGCUAUCGGAUCCGGCUCCACGAGGGGGCAAAGGGGGCUUAAUCCCAUCAGUUGAAACGUAUGCCAUUAGUUUUAUGUCACUAUAUAAAAGUAGCAAAAAAAAUUGAAUGAUUGAGUGACAGAAUCAGUAUCUACACCGCGCUGUGUCAGCACAAUGGACAGAGCGUGCCCCGGUGUGCGUAGGGGGGCUAUGGAAAGCCCAUGGAGUGGUUAGGUAUGACUGCUUUGGUUUUCCAUAAAAAGCAGGGGGAAAACGCUUCUCAUUUGUGGUAGGAUACGUAAAUAAUGUGAUACACCUCUGCCUUUAAUAUUUGAUUUUGAUUAAUAAAUGCGGGGUCAAGUUUACCGUUGAAGCUGCUUCACUCAACUCUGCCUCAUGCCCCACCACUACAGAGUUCAGUUAGCUUCUUAGCCAAGCAUUAGUGUUAUUAGCUUUAGCCUAUUUAGCUAGCUCAAACCAGCUAAUCUGCCACAAUGGCUAUCAGAAAUUGAUGAUGCUGUCGAGCUCCAGCUAGCUCCGCGUGAGGGGCUAUUAUCCUGGCGAUGCUUGCUGAAGGGUAGGUAGCACCCUUCAACAAGCACGUCCAGGAUAAUGACUCCACAGCCUCCUCCAACUCCGACUGUUCCUGACGAUCUUGGAACAGAGGAGGACUCAUACCCUACCCGCAGGAAGGCAGGAGUCACCCAUCGACUACAGGAACACUGCUCCCCACAUCAGUACAAUGAGCCCAACUUUGAGGUGCACUUUGGGCACAAGAGCUGAAAGAAAACAAGGGAGACUUUGAAGACACUUCAUAUAACAAGUAAACGCUGAGUUAGUGGUUCUCAAUGGUAGUCAUCAAGGAGUCCCAUUUGUAGGUUUUCAUCCCCACAAACCUAUCAUUCAGUUUGAAUGAUAUUCAGUUUGAAUAAUUAACUCAUCUGCUAAAUGUAGUUAGCCAGUAAGUAAUUUGCCUGUUCUGGUCUUUGUACCCGCCUGCCUGACUAUUCUGCCUGCCCUGACCUCGAGCCUGCCUGACUAUUCUGCCUGCCCUGACCUCGAGCCUGCCUGCCACUCUGUACCUCCUGGACUCUGAUCUGGUUAUGACCUUUUGCCUGUCCACGACCAUUCUCUUGCCUAUUCCCUUUAGAUUUAUUAAACAUCUGAAACUCCAACCAUCUGCCUCCCGUGUC
rnacentral:lncRNA from 1 species